UAGUCCACGCCGUAAACGAUGGAUACUAGCUGUUCGGAACUUGUUUCUGAGUGGCUAAGCGAAAGUGAUAAGUAUCCCACCUGGGGAGUACGUUCGCAAGAAUGAAACUCAAAGGAAUUGACGGGGGCCCGCACAAGCGGUGGAGCAUGUGGUUUAAUUCGAUGAUACGCGAGGAACCUUACCAGGGCUUAAAUGCAAUAUGACAGGGGUGGAAACACCCUUUCCUUCGGGCAGAUUGCAAGGUGCUGCAUGGUUGUCGUCAGCUCGUGCCGUGAGGUGUCAGGUUAAGUCCUAUAACGAGCGCAACCCCUGUGGUUAGUUGCCAGCGAGUCAUGUCGGGAACUCUAGCCAGACUGCCGGUGCAAACCGUGAGGAAGGUGGGGAUGACGUCAAAUCAUCACGGCCCUUACGUCCUGGGCUACACACGUGCUACAAUGGUAGGGACAGAGAGCAGCCACUACGCGAGUAGGAGCGAAUCUAUAAACCCUAUCUCAGUUCGGAUCGGAGU
rnacentral:rRNA from 1 species